UACCAGCACCCCGAGUGGUCGGGACGUUUAUUGGGCCUAAAGCAUCCGUAGCCGGUUCUACAAGUCUUCCGUUAAAUCCACCUGCUUAACAGAUGGGCUGCGGAAGAUACUAUGGAGCUAGGAGGCGGGAGAGGCAAGCGGUACUCGAUGGGUAGGGGUAAAAUCCGUUGAUCCAUUGAGGACCACCAGUGGCGAAGGCGGCUUGCCAGAACGCGCUCGACGGUGAGGGGUGAAAGCUGGGGGAGCAAACCGG
rnacentral:rRNA from 1 species